AGAGUUAAUAUUUUUUUCCUCCAAAAGAGUUGUUUUUGCUCCGUUUUGAGUAAACAACGUAAAAUGUGUCAGUAGAGUGGGAGCAAAAUUACAGAGUAACUGUAACAGAGUUAAAUGUUUCCCUCCUAAUUUCCGUUUAUCUGCCAUUGCUGUAUAUAAUGUUAAAAGACUAACAAUGAAGAUUAAUGACACGCCUGCAUAUAUUUCUAUUGUGAAAAUAAAUAAACAACAUCUCAAAAAAUAUCAUUUAGUAACUAAUUUGAAUCAAACUAAUUAGAAAAACGAACACCUAAAAGUACAUAAACAUAAUAAAAAACUAAAGUAACUGAAACCAUCUUUGGGGGAAAUAUCUGCAAUUAAAUUUUUAAGUUUGGUUCACGUAGCAUUUGCUUACAUAGAGUUUGCGGGCUUUAUGACCUACACGGCACCCAGCCACCAGAGGGCGAUCAAAAUAUUGGCUUCAUUCACCGUGGCUUCCUUUGGUAACGGCCAUAUCGAUCACUGCUGGUUAAGAAGACAAGCUGCUUUUCUGCUGGAUGGUGAAGUAAGUGAAUUUUUUAAAUCUUAGUAUUAAUUUCCAGAAUAUUCGCCUCUGUUUUGAUCUUAGUCAUUUUGCCACGUUUUUUAAUAUUGCAGAGAUAACUUUCUCACGUGAGAACUAAAUUAGUCCAUUAUUUACAGGUUAUAUAAGUUAAUUACAGGCAUAAAAGUUAUCUGGAAAGCACAUAACUAACAUACUGAUUACGAAUGUUAACUGACACGGGUGAGACUUGCUUACUGCCUAUGAAAUGUUUGUAACUUAACAUUUUGGCGGGCGUUUUGAGUUUUACCUCAUGUAUUUGACUCGGUAAAGAGUUAAGUUCGCGUUAGUCAGUUUGGUUUGCAUUAUCCUUUUCGGACAAUAACGUGAGCUGUUUCUCUUGAAACUUAAAGUAUGAUGUUUAACUUUAUGUUUCUGGUUGCUUCAGAAUGCAAACCAACAGCGUUGUCAAAGUAAAGUGAAGUUUAAUUGACAAGCGUCUGGAGUUGUGCACCACAUGAUUCAAACCAACAACGUUGUCAGAGUAAAGUUCAAAGACAGCAAGAAAUAUAUUUUCUCUUCACAACCAUUUACAUUUCACACAUUUUUGGAAUGUGUUGCCAAGAAGUUUAAUCUUACUACAAUGAAUGUCUUUGAUGACAUAAAGACAGAGGUUGAUGAGGAAUAAUAUCUGCUGACACGACCAGACUUUGGUGUCCUAGAAAUCUUCAUCCCAGAAAGCACAACAAGCCUUGAUGGGCACGUCAGAGUCUGAUGGGACCGCAGUGUUGAUUAGAAAUCCUCCUGAAAAAAAUCUAGCCAAGGAACAUCAUCUAGUCCAGAUCGAAAAUAUCCUAAACAGCAUCCCUGGAGGCGAUAAGGUGACAUGGUGAAAAUCUUGGUAGCACAUUUAACAAAGGAACAUGGAUCUUCCCCUUACCGAAGUUUGAAGGAAGAAUAUGCAAAGGGUAUUAUCUCCAUAUUCCCAUGCUUUGCUGACCCCAGGAGCAAGCUUGGUUAUGAGCAUUAUUACAAUGCAGAAGAUGGAAGUGGAUAUUUGGCGUGGAGAUUAAAACUCAAGCAUCAGAGGGACGGAUAAAAUGCCCACGGCAACCACAAACAGGUGCAUGACUUGCAGAUUGAUCAAGAUUUUGGACUUCUAUUUGGUGAGGUGACCACUGCAAAGUUGUUGGAGAAGUGGUUUACCAACAUAAAACCAAAGGUUAUUGCACAGACCUGUGGCCUCAAACAGACUUGUAAGGUCCAAGACCUCAUCCAAAAUGCUGAAGUUGAAGAUGGUAACUAUUGUGCUAUACAUACAUGUGCUAUACAAGUUAUGAAUUCAUGAAGAAUGGCUUUAGAACCAUAGUUUCAAUUGUAUUAUUUAUUGUAUUAUAUUUACAACAUAUAAUCCAUGCUUUUGUUAUUUAGAGUCCCAAAUGAAAACUAUUUUAAACUGUAAAUCUACAACUCGCAUACUAGUCCCUUGUGAAAACCCAUCUGAAAGCGCUCUAUUUUUACACACUAAUUUUGUACUUUAUAUACAAAAAAAUUCUUCUUUUGUACUUCUUGAGAUAAUCUUAAGAACAUCUAAGUAUACUUGUCUGUACUAUUUUGAGACACCAUGAAUAUGAACUGAAAUAUGCUUAAAAUAUAUAUAAAAAAAAUUUAUUUAGGUACCGCUUGUAGUAAACUUAAACCCAUCUUUCAUACAAACAAGUGGUAAAUAAAUAAAUUUUUUAAAUAUAUUUUAAGCACAUUUUAGUUUAUAUUCAUGGCGUCUCAAUAUAGCACAAUAAUUUUUAAGUUUAUUUAGUACAAAAUUAAUGUGCGAAAAGAGAGCAGUACAUUAUUGAAGUGUACUUCUUUUUCAGCUGGGUUUUCACAAGGGCCUAGUACGUAAGUUGCAGAUUUACACUUUUAAAUUGUUUUAAUUUGGGACUCUAAUAACAAACGCAUGGUUUACAUAUCGUAAAUAACGUUUAAAGGGGACAUAUUAUGAAAAUCUGACGUUUUCCUUGUUUAAGUGCUAUAAUUGGGUCCCCAGUGCUUCUAUCAACAGAGAAAAUGUGAAAAAGAUUAACCCAGUAACUUAGUUUUGAUAAACCAUUCUCUGCAAGUAUGUGAAAAAAUAGCUCAUUGAAAUGUGGCUCCCCUUGUGAUGUAAGAAGGGGAUCUUACUAUAAUUAUACUGCCUCUUAAUCUGCACUAUUCAACCACUGCCAUGUAGUGCAGCUCAUUUGCAUUUAAAAGGAUACACCCAAAAUCAACACAUAUUUGCUCACACCUACAAAGUGUCAAUUUUAACAUGUUAUAAUUAAUUGUCUAUAUGGUAUUUUGAGCUAAAACUUCACAUACAUACUCUGGGACAGCAAAUAUUUAUUUCAAAUCUUAAAGUCUUGUGAAAUGUCUCCUUUAACUGUAUUUCCUAAUUUCAGUAUUUGUAGUAGUUUGUCUCUGCUUUGUUUAUUGUACCAUAUUAUUUCAUGUAAUUCUUUAUCUCCUCUCUUGUAUUAUCACUAUUUACAUUAUUUUAGUGUUGUUGUGAAUUGUAAAAAUGCUGUUUAAAA